rnacentral:tRNA from 1 species
UGUGUUGUGGUGUAGUCGAUUAUCACGUCAGUCUUACACAAUGAAGGCCCCAGUUCGAACUUGGGCAACUCCA